CCUUCAUUACUAAAUCACAACAUGGAAGGUGGAUCAAGACACGGGACAAAUGAAUUUUCUCAAAAUGUCACCAUGAACCACUUUACAUCCAGAAUUUCAGGAGCAAGUUCUACAUAUCAUAACCAAUGAGUUGUACUACAAU